rnacentral:rRNA from 1 species
CCUACGGGCGGCAGCAGUGGGGAAUAUUGGACAAUGGGGGGAACCCUGAUCCAGCCAUGCCGCGUGUGUGAAGAAGGCCCUCGGGUUGUAAAGCACUUUCAGUGAGGAAGAACGCCUGGUGGUUAAUACCCAUCAGGAAAGACAUCACUCACAGAAGAAGCACCGGCUAACUCCGUGCCAGCAGCCGCGGUAAUACGGAGGGUGCGAGCGUUAAUCGGAAUUACUGGGCGUAAAGCGCGCGUAGGUGGCUUGAUAAGCCGGUUGUGAAAGCCCCGGGCUCAACCUGGGAACGGCAUCCGGAACUGUCAAGCUAGAGUGCAGGAGAGGAAGGUGGAAUUCCCGGUGUAGCGGUGAAAUGCGUAGAGAUCGGGAGGAAUACCAGUGGCGAAGGCGGCCUUCUGGACUGACACUGACACUGAGGUGCGAAAGCGUGGGUAGCAAACAGGAUUAGAUACCCGUGUAGUC